GCCAGGCAUGAUAGCAUGUUCCUACCGUCCCAGCUAUUCAGGAGGCUGAAGUGGGAGGAUCACUUCAGUUCAGUCCAGGAGUUCUGGGCUGUAGUAUGCGAUGCCAAUUGGGUGUCUGCACUAAGUUCAGCAUCAAUAUGAUGACUUCCCAGGAGCAGGAGACCACCUGGUUGCCUGAGGAGGGGUGAACUGGCCCAGGUUGGAAACAGAGCAAUGCAAAACUCCCGUGCUGAUCGGUAUUGGGAUCGCACUGUGAAGAGCCACUGACCUGCAGCCUGGGCAACAUACUGACACCUGCCUCUU
ensembl:misc_RNA Metazoa_SRP Metazoan signal recognition particle RNA